rnacentral:rRNA from 1 species
GAUGAACGCUGGCGGCGUGCCUAAUACAUGCAAGUCGAGCGAACGGACGAGAAGCUUGCUUCUCUGAUGUUAGCGGCGGACGGGUGAGUAACACGUGGAUAACCUACCUAUAAGACUGGGAUAACUUCGGGAAACCGGAGCUAAUACCGGAUAAUAUUUUGAACCGCAUGGUUCAAAAGUGAAAGACGGUCUUGCUGUCACUUAUAGAUGGAUCCGCGCUGCAUUAGCUAGUUGGUAAGGUAACGGCUUACCAAGGCAACGAUGCAUAGCCGACCUGAGAGGGUGAUCGGCCACACUGGAACUGAGACACGGUCCAGACUCCUACGGGAGGCAGCAGUAGGGAAUCUUCCGCAAUGGGCGAAAGCCUGACGGAGCAACGCCGCGUGAGUGAUGAAGGUCUUCGGAUCGUAAAACUCUGUUAUUAGGGAAGAACAUAUGUGUAAGUAACUGUGCACAUCUUGACGGUACCUAAUCAGAAAGCCACGGCUGACUACGUGCCAGCAGCCGCGGUAAUACGUAGGUGGCAAGCGUUAUCCGGAAUUAUUGGGCGUAAAGCGCGCGUAGGCGGUUUUUUAGUCUGAUGUGAAAGCCCACGGCUCAACCGUGGAGGGUCAUUGGAAACUGGAAAACUUGAGUGCAGAAGAGGAAAGUGGAAUUCCAUGUGUAGCGGUGAAAUGCGCAGAGAUAUGGAGGAACACCAGUGGCGAAGGCGACUUUCUGGUCUGUAACUGACGCUGAUGUGCGAAAGCGUGGGGAUCAAACAGGAUUAGAUACCCUGGUAGUCCACGCCGUAAACGAUGAGUGCUAAGUGUUAGGGGGUUUCCGCCCCUUAGUGCUGCAGCUAACGCAUUAAGCACUCCGCCUGGGGAGUACGACCGCAAGGUUGAAACUCAAAGGAAUUGACGGGGACCCGCACAAGCGGUGGAGCAUGUGGUUUAAUUCGAAGCAACGCGAAGAACCUUACCAAAUCUUGACAUCCUUUGACAACUCUAGAGAUAGAGCUUUCCCCUUCGGGGGACAAAGUGACAGGUGGUGCAUGGUUGUCGUCAGCUCGUGUCGUGAGAUGUUGGGUUAAGUCCCGCAACGAGCGCAACCCUUAAGCUUAGUUGCCAUCAUUAAGUUGGGCACUCUAAGUUGACUGCCGGUGACAAACCGGAGGAAGGUGGGGAUGACGUCAAAUCAUCAUGCCCCUUAUGAUUUGGGCUACACACGUGCUACAAUGGACAAUACAAAGGGCAGCGAAACUGCGAGGUCAAGCAAAUCCCAUAAAGUUGUUCUCAGUUCGGAUUGUAGUCUGCAACUCGACUACAUGAAGCUGGAAUCGCUAGUAAUCGUAGAUCAGCAUGCUACGGUGAAUACGUUCCCGGGUCU